rnacentral:sRNA from 1 species
ACUUAGCCCAGAUGGGAACGGCAUCCUUUUUUGUUAUUGCAAUUGCGAAAAUUUUCAACGGAUUGCUUCGCUUUGCUCGCAAUGACAAAAAAGAUAUAGUGGACAGCUGGUACAGAA